rnacentral:rRNA from 1 species
GACGAACGCUGGCGGCGUGCUUAAUACAUGCAAGUCGAACGGAAAGGCGCGGCGCUUGCUGGUUUCUCGAGUGGCGAACGGGUGAGUAUCACGUGUGGAACCCGUCCCUGACAUUGGGGGAACUCCAGGAAAAACGGGCGAAUACACGAUAGGAGCUUCUGCUGCAUGGGGGGGGUAGGAAAGUGGCGGCGUUUGGGGAUGGACUCGCGGCUUAGCAGCUUGUUGGUGGGGUAGUGGGUUACCAAGGCUUUGAGGGGAAGCCGACCUGCGAGGGUGACCGGCCACAUUGGGCCUGGGGAGGGGCCCAGACUGCUACGGGAGGCAGCGGUGGAAAAUAUUCCGCAAUGGGCCGAAGCCUGAUGCAGGAGCGCCGCGUGCGGAAUGACGGCCUUCGGGUUGUAACCCGCUUUCGACUGUAACGAAGAGUGAGUGACGGUAACGGAUCAGAAAGCAACGGCUAACUACGUG